CAGACAGUACAAAAUUCAAAUUAUAAAUGUUUCCAUUGAAAAUUACAUUGUAUUCCACUGAAUUGGGUUCAAAUUUGUUUUUCGUCAGUACUUUAGGCUUUCUUUGUCAUUUAAAUUUGCUGUAAAAUUUCCAUUGUACUUGCGUUCUAAUUAUGGCCGUAAAUCCGGAUGAUUAUUAUUUUCAAAUUAAAUUUUGAGGCGUCGUGCGGUAUUAAACUAGAUUAGCAGCAACAAUGGCUUAUUCUGAAAUGCCGGCAAUUAAAUUUAAGAAGCAGGAAAAAAACGAACAUUUCAUUACUCGAAGGCAUUGAGAAUUACGCCUAUACAUAAAUAAAUGAUAAUUUGUGUGACAUUCUAAAUAUAUUUUUGUCACCAAACACCUUACACCAGCUCUUCGAUGUGAUGAGGGGCCGUGCGUUGUGGAUUUAAAUCAAAAUUCAACCCAUUGCCAUGGAUUACAUCAAGUGCCAACAAUCGCAGACCAGUCAUAAGAAAAGUCAUCAUGCAAGAUUUGAUGGGCGUUAUGGAAGUUACGGUGUCGAUGCUCCAAAUCAGCUGAGUUUGAGCCGCAAAAUAUGUCAGCGGUUGUUUCGAUAAUCGCCAAAGAUUUACUGCUGAUCGCAGAUGGUCAUCAAAUUUGCUUUAAUCCAUGAUGAAAUAUCCAGGAAGGGCCACCAACAAUUUGACCCACAAAUAGCACUGGAAUUCAGCCAAAAGCAACCACAAGCAUAUGCAUAUGACCAAAUGAUCAAGUAGAAUUUGGUGUCCUUCAGUGAUCAUUUGGCUAACAGUCCAGAAGUUUUAACUCGAGUUCCGAAAACCUUUCGCAGAAAACACAAUGUUAUCUACGGGCACUUAAUCGGAUUUUUGAAUGAAAAGAAAUUCACUUGAGCCUAAUACAUUACACUUGCAGAAAUCAAAUGCACCACAUCUAUUACACUUAAAGAAAACUAAGAUUAGUCAAAGCGUUUGUCUAAAAUAAUUUCUGAUAUUUGUAAUGCAAUAAAUCAAAAGAAAUAAACAAACGGCAUUUUAGGUGGUAGAA